rnacentral:rRNA from 1 species
UAUCAAUAAGCGGAGGAAAAGAAACCAACAGGGAUUGCCCCAGUAACGGCGAGUGAAGCGGCAACAGCUCAAAUUUGAAAUCGGCCCCCCGGUCGAGUUGUAAUUUGCAGAGGAUGCUUCUGGGCAGCGGCCGGUCUAAGUUCCUUGGAACAGGACGUCAUAGAGGGUGAGAAUCCCGUAUGCGACCGGCGCGCACCCUCCACGUAGCUCCUUCGACGAGUCGAGUUGUUUGGGAAUGCAGCUCUAAAUGGGAGGUAAAUUUCUUCUAAAGCUAAAUACCGGCCAGAGACCGAUAGCGCACAAGUAGAGUGAUCGAAAGAUGAAAAGCACUUUGGAAAGAGAGUUAAAAAGCACGUGAAAUUGUUGAAAGGGAAGCGCUUGCCACCAGACUUGACGGCGGGGUUCCGCCGGUCUUCUGACCGGUCCACUCCCCGCCGGCAGGCCAACAUCGUCUGGGGCCGCCGGACAAGACGUCGGGAAUGUAGCUCCUCGGAGUGUUAUAGCCCGGCGUGAUGCGGCGCGCCCCGGGCGAGGUCCGCGCUCCGGCAAGGAUGUUGGCGUAAUGGUGGUCAGCGGCCCGUCUUGAAACACGG